CCAAAACUUAGCUGCUCCAGUUCAGGCUGGUUGCACGCUUCAACCCUUUGUGAACCAAAAACCUUUACGCUUCGGCAGCUGGUUCCAGCUGUAAGCCUGCCGAUGGCACCCAUUUAAACCUGUCGUUAAAUAUUUGUCUGAACUAAAUAUUUUCGAAUGAAAUUA
rnacentral:misc_RNA from 1 species